UACAGAGGGGGCAAGCGUUGUUCGGAAUUACUGGGCGUAAAGGGCGCGUAGGCGGCCUUCUAAGUCAGACGUGAAAUCCCUCGGCUCAACCGGGGAACUGCGUCUGAGACUGAAAGGCUUGAAUCCGGGAGAGGAAUGCGGAAUUCCAGGUGUAGCGGUGAAAUGCGUAGAUAUCUGGAGGAACACCGGUGGCGAAGGCGGCAUCCUGGACCGGUAUUGACGCUGAGGCGCGAAAGCCAGGGGAGCAAACGGG
rnacentral:rRNA from 1 species